GCGGAUUAAUAUAUAACUGAAAAAUAAAACUUGCGGUAAACUCACAUGUUGAAAAAAAAAUAAGCGCAAUGAAUAUCAAAGCUGAUUU
rfam:Capsella rubella cultivar Monte Gargano unplaced genomic scaffold scaffold_7, whole genome shotgun sequence.